rnacentral:tRNA from 1 species
GGAGUGGUAUCGAAGUGGUCAUAACGAGCUACACUGGAACUGUAGUAGUCGGGAAACCGGCCCGUGGGUUCGAAUCCCACUCACUCCGCCA